GAUGAACGCUGGCGGCGUGCUUAACACAUGCAAGUCGAACGGUAACAGGCCGCAAGGUGCUGACGAGUGGCGAACGGGUGAGUAAUGCAUCGGAACGUGCCCAGUCGUGGGGGAUAACGCAGCGAAAGCUGCGCUAAUACCGCAUACGAUCUAUGGAUGAAAGCGGGGGACCGUAAGGCCUCGCGCGAUUGGAGCGGCCGAUGUCAGAUUAGGUAGUUGGUGGGGUAAAGGCUCACCAAGCCAACGAUCUGUAGCUGGUCUGAGAGGACGACCAGCCACACUGGGACUGAGACACGGCCCAGACUCCUACGGGAGGCAGCAGUGGGGAAUUUUGGACAAUGGGCGCAAGCCUGAUCCAGCAAUGCCGCGUGCAGGAAGAAGGCCUUCGGGUUGUAAACUGCUUUUGUGCGGAACGAAACGGUCUGGGUUAAUACCCUGGGCUAAUGACGGUACCGUAAGAAUAAGCACCGGCUAACUACGUGCCAGCCGCCGCUGUAACAC
rnacentral:rRNA from 1 species